UACGUAGGGCGCAAGCGUUAUCCGGAAUUAUUGGGCGUAAAGAGCUCGUAGGCGGUUUGUCGCGUCUGCCGUGAAAGUCCGGGGCUCAACUCCGGAUCUGCGGUGGGUACGGGCAGACUAGAGUGCAGUAGGGGAGACUGGAAUUCCUGGUGUAGCGGUGAAAUGCGCAGAUAUCAGGAGGAACACCGGUGGCGAAGGCGGGUCUCUGGGCAGUAACUGACGCUGAGGAGCGAAAGUGUGGGGAGCGAACAGG
rnacentral:rRNA from 1 species